UCUAAUGAAGUGGUCCUUCGAACCGCAUCCGUAACAGGCCCUGUUAGUAGACUUACCCCAACAUUCACCUAGGUGUCGUCUUCCGCAUUGGGGACAUUCAGGUUUCUCUUGACGAUUAUUGCCCACACUAGCUACUGAAGUAGCUCGGGAGUCCGUCGAUGGUCGUGCUCUGAUGGAAAUUCCCGCAGUCGUCCUCAACUUAUUAGUGUCCUCCCUGAACUUCUUUACAGCUGAGAACGGAGCUUUACCC
rnacentral:lncRNA from 1 species